CUUAACACAUGCAAGUCGAGGGGCAGCACGGGUAGCAAUACUUGGUGGCGACCGGCGCAAGGGUGCGUAACGCGUGAGCAACAUGCCCGUAUCAGGGGGAUAAUCCAGGGAAACUUGGUCUAAUACCCCAUAGUAAUUUCGUAAGGCAUCUUAUGGGAUUUAAAGCUUUGGUGGAUACGGAUUGGCUCGCGUGACAUUAGCUGGAUGGUAAGGUAACGGCUUACCAUGGCUAUGAUGUCUAGGGGUUCUGAGAGGAAGGUCCCCCACACUGGAACUGAGACACGGUCCAGACUCCUACGGGAGGCAGCAGUGAGGAAUAUUGGACAAUGGAUGGAAAUCUGAUCCAGCCAUGCCGCGUGAAGGAAAAAUGUCCUAUGGAUUGUAAACUUCUUUUGUAUGGGAGCAAUAAGGUCUUCGUGAAGACUGAUGAGAGUACCAUACGAAUAAGCAUCGGCUAACUCCGUGCCAGCAGCCGCGGUAAUACGGAGGAUGCGAGCGUUAUCCGGAUUUAUUGGGUUUAAAGGGUGCGUAGGCUGUUAUAUAAGUCAGUGGUGAAAUAUUCGGGCUCAACCGGGAUACUGCCAUUGAUACUGUAUAGCUGGAAUAUGGUUGCUGUGGGUGGAAUGUGUGGUGUAGCGGUGAAAUGCAUAGAUAUCACACAGAAUAUCGAUUGCGAAGGCAACUCACAAAGCCAUUAUUGACGCUGAUGCACGAAAGUGUGGGGAUCAAACAGGAUUAGAUACCCUGGUAGUCCACACUGUAAACGAUGAUAACUAGCUGUCGGCGAUAGAUAGUCGGUGGCUAAGCGAAAGCGAUAAGUUAUCCACCUGGGGAGUACGACCGCAAGGUUGAAACUCAAAGGAAUUGACGGGGGCCCGCACAAGCGGAGGAACAUGUGGUUUAAUUCGAUGAUACGCGAGGAACCUUACCCGGGCUCGAACGGUGCAGAUAUGGGUAGAGAUAUCAUAGCUAGCAUAGUCUGUAUCGAGUGCUGCAUGCUGUCGUCAGCUCGUGCGUGAGGUGUCGGCUAGUGCAUACCG
rnacentral:rRNA from 1 species